rnacentral:rRNA from 1 species
UACGUAGGUGGCAAGCGUUGUCCGGAUUUACUGGGCGUAAAGAGCGCGCAGGCGGUCGUCCAAGUCGCGUGUGAAAGCCCCCCGGCUCAACUGGGGGAGGGUCAUUCGAUACUGAUCGACUUGAAGGCAGGAGAGGGAAGCGGAAUUCCCGGUGUAGUGGUGAAAUGCGUAGAGAUGUGGAGGAACACCGAUGGCGAAGGCAGCCCCCUGGGUUAACACUGACGCUCAGGCACGAAAGCGUGGGGAGCAAACAGG